UACGUAGGGCGCAAGCGUUAUCCGGAAUUAUUGGGCGUAAAGAGCUCGUAGGCGGUUUGUCGCGUCUGCCGUGAAAGUCCGGGGCUCAACUCCGGAUCUGCGGUGGGUACGGGCAGACUAGAGGUAUGCAGGGGAAACUGGAAUUCCUGGUGUAGCGGUGAAAUGCGCAGAUAUCAGGAGGAACACCGAUGGCGAAGGCAGGUCUCUGGGCCACUACUGACGCUGAGAAGCGAAAGCAUGGGGAGCGAACAGG
rnacentral:rRNA from 1 species